rnacentral:rRNA from 1 species
CCCUUAGAUGUCCUGGGCUGCACGCGCGCUACACUGAUGUGUCCAGUAAGCACCUAACCUCUUCCGAAAGGAACGGGUAACCUUUGCAAAGCACAUCGUGAUGGGGAUAGAUUAUUGCAAUUAUUAGUCUUGAACGAGGAAUUCCUAGUAAGCGCAAGUCAGCAGCUUGCGUUGAUUACGUCCCUGCCCUUUGUACACACCGCCCGUCGCUACUACCGAUUGAAUGGUUUAGUGAGAUCUUCGGAUUGGCGCCACUGCGGCUCAGCAAUGGGCUCGGUGGAUGCCGAAAAGUUGAUCAAACUUGAUCAUUUAGAGGAAGUAAAAGUCGUAACA